rnacentral:miRNA from 1 species
UGAAGAGCUCCUUGUUCGUAGU